rnacentral:tRNA from 1 species
GGAGGGGUGGGCGAGUGGUCGAAGCCAGCUGACUUAAAAUCAGCCAAUCGUCUGGGAGGACGGUUCACGAGUUCAAAUCUCGUCCCCUCCG